rnacentral:lncRNA from 1 species
CAAGUGCGUUUGCAGUGAGUAUAUGUGAUCUCGUCACCUUUGCUAGAUCAGUAAAAGCAUCCGACAUGCUUUGAGUAAUGCUCUGAAGAUCUAGAAUGCGUCGUACUUCAGUUUCAGAUUGAGGAGUACGGGGAUCUAAAUGAGACAUAGUGGGAGUAAUCCAUGAUAAUUUGCGGCGUUCUACAGGAAUGUUGUGAAAUCCCGUCCCUGGAUUUCCCCAUUUAAAAAUUCGUAUCUCGUAUUUCGUAUUCAUAUUCGUAAUUUUGACGCUUUCAUAUUUACGGCGUAUAUUUUUUCGAUAAGUAAAAUGACAAAAUUGCCCCUAUUGUAUUAAACAGAAUUCUUUGUGGAUGUAUUUGAUCCUUUCAUGAUUUCCAGAUUUUCUUACAUAUUUGGAUAAUACUCGUUGAUACGAGCGCGUGAGCGCAAACAGAAUGUAAUUUGGAGUUAUAACGACAAAGUUAUUAACAUUUAAAGUUAUGGGCAUUUUAGUAAAUUUAACCUUCAUUACUAGAAGGCUCCAGCAAAAUCUGGACUAGUGAGGAAGUGACACAUGGAUGGCUAUGAUGCAGAGUUGAGGAGAGAAAUAAGAGAGAUAGAUUGAGGAGAGAAGAAAAAAUGAAAGAAAAAUGAGGGAAGUCGGCUAAUCAGAAGCAGGGGAGAAGGGGAGAUGACCAAUAGGGGAAGGGGAAAUGAGGGGAAAAGAGAGAGGCGAGGUAACACC